AUUGAACGCUGGCGGCAGGCCUAACACAUGCAAGUCGAACGAGUGGCGGACGGGUGAGUAAUGUCUGGGAAACUGCCGGAUGGAGGGGGCUAACUACUGGAAACGGUAGCUAAUACCGCAUACCAUCAGAUGUGCCCAGAUGGGAUUAGCUUUUUGGUGGGGUAAAGGCUCACAAAGGCGACGAUCCCUAGCUGGUCUGAGAGGAUGACCACACACACUGGAAAUGAGACACGGUCCAGACGCCUACGGGAGGCAUCAGUGGGGAAUAGUGCACAAUGGGCGAAAGCCUGAUGCAGCCAUGCCGCGGGUAUGAAGAAGGACUUCGGGUUGUAAAGUACUGUCAGCGGGGAGGCGUUACCCGCAGAAGAAGCACCGGCUAACUCCGUGCCAGCAGCCGCGGUAAUAC
rnacentral:rRNA from 1 species